CCCUUAGAUGUUCUGGGCAGCACGCGCGCUACAAUGGUCUUCGCAAACGGAUGCAUUCUCGAAGGAGAAUGCCAAUCUUGGAAUCUAUGCCUUGGUCGGGACAGUUGCUUGCAAUUUUUCGACUCGAACCAGGAAUUCCUUGUAAUCGUGAUUCAUCACAUCACGAUGAAUACGUCCCUGCCCUUUGUACACACCGCCCGUCGCUCCUACCGACCGAAGAGUUAGGUGAAUUGUUUUGAUCGAUAAGAUUUGACUAUGGUCAACUCUCGUUGUGAAAUUCUGUGAAUCCGACUGUUUAGAGGAAGGAAAAGUCGUAACA
rnacentral:rRNA from 1 species